AGCAGCCGCGGUAAUUCCAGCUCCAAUAGCGUAUAUUAAAGUUGUUGCGGUUAAAACGCUCGUAGUUGGAUCUGCGGCCAAGGAGAACGGUCCCCCGAAAGGGCGGUCACUGUCUCUCCUAGCCUAAUUUCGAGUCAACUCUAGGUGCUCUUAAUCGGGUGCCUAGGGUGACUAGAACGUUUACUUUGAAAAAAU
rnacentral:rRNA from 1 species